ACUCCUACGGGAGGCAGCAGUGAGGAAUAUUGGACAAUGGGCGCAAGCCUGAUCCAGCCAUGCCGCGUGCAGGAUGACGGUCCUAUGGAUUGUAAACUGCUUUUGCACAGGAAGAAACACUCGGUCGUGACCGAGCUUGACGGUACUGUGAGAAUAAGGAUCGGCUAACUCCGUGCCAGCAGCCGCGGUAAUACGGAGGAUCCAAGCGUUAUCCGGAAUCAUUGGGUUUAAAGGGUCCGUAGGCGGUUUGGUAAGUCAGUGGUGAAAGCCCAUCGCUCAACGGUGGAACGGCCAUUGAUACUGCCAGACUUGAAUUAUUAGGAAGUAACUAGAAUAUGUAGUGUAGCGGUGAAAUGCUUAGAGAUUACAUGGAAUACCAAUUGCGAAGGCAGGUUACUACUAAUGGAUUGACGCUGAUGGACGAAAGCGUGGGUAGCGAACAGGAUUAGAUACCCUGGUAGUCCACGCCGUAAACGAUGGAUACUAGCUGUUGGGAGCAAUCUCAGUGGCUAAGCGAAAGUGAUAAGUAUCCCACCUGGGGAGUACGUUCGCAAGAAUGAAACUCAAAGGAAUUGACGG
rnacentral:rRNA from 1 species